UAUACUACGUGUUUUUAUAUAAGUAGUGAAAAAAUUUAAUUUUUAAGUAAUUAAUUUUUUAACACACAUAAUUCACCAUUUAUAUAGAGACACGUAGUGUACCACUUUUUGUGACCGUCACAAAAAUCUCUCUUUUAUAUAUAUACAUACUAGCCUCUUCGCAGACACUAACGUGUGUGCGAGAUGCAUUUUUGCAUCACGGACGCUACGCAUCUCAAAGAUGUGUUGUUUUAGAUAUUCUUAUAUUUCUUAAGUGAUUAUUUUAUAAAUUGUAGGUCUGUGUCCGUCACAACAAUUUCUUAUUAUUUUCAAUCAUCUAACUUAGUCUUUUUGCACCCGCCCAUUGUACAGAAAAAAUGAAUUUUAUGAAUUGCACAUUAACCGUUCCAUAUUUUUUUUGCUUGCUUAUUAUUAUGGUGUCAUUUUUUUUUGUUUGGCUGAUAGAAUUUGGUUUCACUAACUAAACUAUGCUUGGUUAUUAUUAUCACUUUGGUAAUUAUUGAUUAACAAAAAAAAAAUUAAGUUAAUCAUUGUAGUUAGAAUUCUCUUAUAUCCAUCAGUAUCAUUUUACCCAUAUAUAUUGUACAGGAAGAAAAUCAAGAGUUAGGUUCCUUAAAAUCAAGAGUUGGGUUCCUUAGUCAAUAAGGGAUUAAAAAUGGUGGAUUUCAUUUUCGUUUACUGUGAUAAUGAUGUUAUCCUUAUGCAUGCCAUAUUGUCAUGUUGCCAUGUUCGUUGAAGAAUUUAGCAGCCUAUAUUCCAUCCAAUUUGCACAUAUGUGAGUAAUCUCUCAUACAAUUUUUACUAUUUUUCCUUUAAAACAACAAUGAAGAUGAAAUGGGAAAACAAAAACUAUUAAAAAAAUAUGAAAAUAUGACAUGUAAUUUCAUUUCUAAAUACAUGCUGAUAACAUUUAAUGUCCUUAAAUCAAAAAUUUCAGAUUCAUAAGUUUCCAGUCAAAGUUAUAGGCUAGCUAGGGAUGAACUCCUAAUAAAUGAAGCAAAGCAAAAUAUGGACAACAUGUACAUAUGUAAACAUAGCGUCUACGUGUGAAAUCAAAGUCAUGUUUGCCACCUAUUUGCUUGCACUUGAUGCUUUAGAUUUUCAUGGUUAAUCUGCAAGCAAUGAAAUAAAAUAAGAAGUCUAACUAUAAUGCACAAUCCCAAAUAUAAAGGUUGUAAGCAAUUUAACCUAAAUAUCUUUAACUUUGACAAAUUUCUCAUGGCAAUACUUUUCCUCCAGUUACUUUUAGAAUGCUGAAAGAUAAAUGAUUUGUCAAGUUUGAGGUAACAAAUUGUAAUUAUGUUUAUAAAAUUAAAUAGUAAGAAAUGUUACCUUAAUCGUGUACUUCAACCUUUUGAUGUGAAAAAUAAGUUAACACACAAAUUAAACCCUCUUUUUGACAAUUGUAGUAUAGAUGUAAGUAGGGUAUCGUUCUAGGCCGGGGAUUAGGAGGGCUUGCUAAUAACCUCUCACUUGACUAAAAAAUAUAAGAAGAAACUUAAAAACACAAAAGUAGGCUUUAAAACACUAAACUAGACUCAAAGAGUUCAAAACAAACUUAAGCACACUUUGAUACAAGAAAAUAAAUGGGGGGUAUUGGUUUUGGUUGUGAUUGAGAUAAAAAGUAAAACUAAAUAUAUGGUUGAUGGAUUAGCUAGAGAUCCAUUCUUCACACAUGACACACUUGAACAUGAAUUGAUUUUCAGUUGCUUUUCGAUAAGCUAUUAAUACUCAAUGCCCCAAAUUAACCGUGAAUUGCACUAAUUAACCCUCAGUUUUUCCACAAGUUAUUGGGUUGGAUGAUUGCAUACGACAACCCAAAACAUUCCCUACAAGUUCCCUACAUGAGUUGCAUAAUAGAGAUACAAGCAAGAAUCAUUAAGUUCUAUGAAAAACAUAAGCAUUGACGAGACACUCGUUACUAUGAUUUGCAUGAAACUUAUGCCAAGAAUUUACUUAACGUGAUUGUGACUAGCAACAUUCACUACUUGUGAAUAUAAGUUCAUAACGAUUAGGUGAAACUCCCUUAUAUUCUAGCGUCAAAUUCAUGCAUGAAAAUUAAGCGUGCACUCUCAACCAACAUACACAAAUCAGUUUUUAUACGAACGGAUAAGUAAAUUGAAUUCACAACUUAUAAAUCACAACUGAAGGUAAUCAAUUCAUAUUACAAAUAUAUUCAUGGUUUCGAAUUAACCUCUAGCCAAAAUAAAUUUAAUUACACAUUAUUAAAACAGAAAUAAAAUAGAAAUUUAGAAAGAUUAAACCGAAAGAAGGUGAUCUGCUGCGUUCGUGCCCGUGUGAACUGCGCCUCGCUGGCACCCUCUCCUUUCCUGCAGCUUCCCCUCUGAGCUUCUUUCCUUUCUCGUUUCUGCCUUGCAAGUCCCUGACUUGCUUCCCUUCUUUUCUUCUCCGCACGCUGCCCCGUGGCAGCCCGUGUCUCUCCCCAGUUCCCGUCAGUCAAGGCUCAAGCUGCCAAAUGGCAGCCUCUGCUCUCCUCUUGGUUUCUCACGCUGCCAAAGCAGCGUCCUCCCUUCUAUCUCUCCCCAUUCUCCCUGCUAUCUGCUGCCAAAGGCAGCUUAUUUCGUUCCCCCCACUGCCAAGGCUGCAAGGUCUUGUUUAUUCUUUUCUCUCCCGAGGCUAAUGCCUCACCCACCACACUAAUGCUGCAAGUGCAGUUUUUUUAUUCCUUCUGUGCCUUUCACCUACCACACUCUGCAAAGCUUUUUAUUAUUUUUCUCUUUUCUGAUCCCCAAGUGCUCAUUUUCUUCCUCACACCUCCAGCUCGAAAAGCACCUGCAUGCAUAUUUACUAUAUCAAAAGUAGAGAACAACGUGUGUGUGUCUAUUUAUAUGUGUGUGUAUGCAUAACAAAAUAUAAAACUUGGAUCAAUUACUUAUUUUAAACUAAAGGUGGAAGGGAUAAGAAUUAAUACUUAAACUAAAACAAAUCUUACUUUUUGACGAAUUUAUUAUUUAAAACUCAUUUGUGCCAUUUUUAUUUUCUUUGCAUAACAAAUCCUAUAAACACAAAAAUAACGUAAAUAGUUCAAAAAUAUAAGGAAUUAACUAAGAAAAGACGAGUGAAUUUGAAGUAAAAAUAUAUAUAAAUAUGAUCCGAUCAAAUACCCCCAUACUUAGCUUUUGCUAGUCCUCGAGCAAAACAAAGAAAACAUGAAAAAGUACUAACAUGAAAAACAUUAGUUUCCCCCUAUGUGACCCUCAUAGAAUUUCAUUCGAGAAAACAAAUCAUCAAGAACCAUAGCUAGCACCAACAAACUAAUCCAAGUUCAUCUUCCUUAUUCAAAUAUUAGCAGUAAUCUUUGAAUCAUCCUUGAAGUGUAGUGUGUGAGAUAGCCAUGCUAAUGCAAUUUCAAGUUUUUAUUUUUAAAAUCAUCAUAUGCAAACUAGCGACCUUCUCACGGGAUAUGCACUCAAUCACACAUGUGUUUAGUUUUAAUGUGUUUCGCUCAAAGAAACAAAUGUGAAAUUUCUACCAUAAGCUUGCAUAAAGAUCACUUCUCCACAGUCAUAAUUGCAAAACUUAAAUCAAGAGGACUUUUAUUGGAUAUAAUGAGGCUUAGGGAUAGGGUUAUUGAAACGAAAGAAUAGGAAAACACAAGUUCCAAGCUACAUUGCAAGCAAUUCUUUUGUUUAGAUUUAUAAGAACUCAAGCUCUCCAACGAUUCUUCUGAUACCUCCAAUCACACCCUUAAACUGAAACUUUAAAAACUUUUUAUUUUCUUUUUAUACAAUCUUUCUUUUUUUUUUUUUUUUUUUUUUUUUUUUUAAAUACAAACAUGAAAUACCCCCACGCUUAUUCUUUUGCCAAACACCUUCAAAGUACUUCACAAACGUUUCUCAUAAGACAAUCUCGCAUUGCUCGCUUGGAAAGGGUAAGGAAAAAAUGUUUCAGGUAUAAAGGUAGACAUAUCUGGUGGUAAGAAAUAAAAGGCUCAACAUACACGGCUCAAAUUGGCAAUCUAAUGAUAUUAUUUUUAUUUGGGAAACAUGGUUAUUUGGGCCAUAGUGGUAAACCUAAUGCCUCUAUCAUUUCCAAGUUCAUGCAAUCAAUGAUAAACAUUUCGAAAGAUCGUUACGCAAGUUCUAGAGAUGUAUCUCACAUAAGUUCAUCACACAUGAAAGAAUAGGAGUGUAUGAAAAAUGCACACACUUUCAAUCGGCUCAAAAACUCACAUAGGAUGAAUAUGGUCACUAAAUUCACAUAUGACGCUUUAAUUCAUACUUUAGUUUCACAUUAACAAGGCUAUGUGCAUUUGGUUUUUCAAAGAUGGUCAAACAUAUACAAAACUAACAAGAGAAUUAGGAAUUUCACAAAACACAUGUUAACUAAGUUCUUGAUGAUCAUGGUUCAAAUUUGAUCCAAUUAUAUCAUUGGGUCGGGAAACUAACAAAAAUCUAAUUCAAAACAAUAAGGGAAACAAGACAAUAUUUUUGGAUUUUUAAAUUUUCCGAUUUUUUUAUUUUUUUAUUUUUUUUAUUAUAUAUAUAUAUAUAUAUAUUUUUUUUUUAAAGAAAACAAAAAAAAACAACAACACAGAAACAAAUGAAAUUCUAGAGAUGUCUACCCCCACACUUAAACUGGACAUUGUCCCCAAUGUCAGAAAACACUAUAAUGCAAAUAAAAAUAAAAUAAAUAAAUAAUAAGAAACAAAAUAAAGCAAUUGGACUGAAAACUUCCCUAGUUUGCAGUAAAAUCAAGCGAUGACCCUCUAAGCUAAAAUUCUGCAAUCAACUUCAAGGGUGGAAAGAACCAAAAGUUCCUGCAAAGAAAAGAAAUAAUUCAGUUAAGUAACGCAAGAAAAUUAAUUAAAAAAAUUGCAAACGAAAAAUUGAAAAUUACGAUAAAAGAUAAUGAAUAAAACUAAUAAGUAAUCAUUGGUCGUGCUUGUUGACUUUCCACAGCUUUCCUCUUGAACAGGGUGACACUUAGCUUUUCACUUGCAAGUGAUGAUUUUAUGCUAUUGUACUGCGAGGCUUUGCUCUUUGGCGAAGGUGCCCUCCAAAUGUUGUUGAAGCUUCUCGAGUUCUUCAACUCGGACUCCUUGUGCUGGUUUGAUUGUACGAGCUGCAUUCUUCUCUGCUUGUUUCCUCUGCAUGGCGGGCAGGCACAAGGUAGCUGUUUUGGUCUGAUUCUUUCUUCAAUCUUUCCAAGUGCCCACCUCUUGCUUUCUUUCUCCUUCCCUAGCUGAUGAUGAAUUGGCAAAUUGUCUCCCCAUGCUUCGAGGUCUCAUUUUCACCUCCCUUACUUGUCCCCCAAGUAGAUGUGGUAGACAAAACGGAAGCAUAAGAUGAAGAAGAUGAGUACUCGAGAGCAAGGCUAGGUAAGCAAUCAGGAAGGGGUUCCAGGCAGUUGGCUCCAGAUCGGAAGAUUGAUACCAAAUGCUGGCUGAUUGCUCUCUUUCUCCUUGUCGGAAAACAAAGACAAGGAGAAGGACAUGGAGAAAGCAUGAUAUGAGAUACUCUUGCUUUCAACCUUUAUGAUAUGAAAUACUUUUGCUUUGAAUGGGUUGUUCGCAAGAGUAUCCCAAGGAAUGAGGAACACUGAGUAACUUAGGAGGAUUCUUUUGGAAUGCAUUCUCGGAGAUGAAGAAGUUUUGAGUGAGGCUACUUUGCAAUGAAGUUUAACAUUUAAAGAAUUUUCUUAAUGGCUGGUAGAGGUACUGUUCAAUUAACCCAGGGUUACCGACACGAGUAGAAGAACAGUGCAAAGUGCUUUCCCACUUCACCAUAAAUUUUUUUUUUUUUUUGACCAGCUAUUCGUGAUUUCCGCAAAGCAGAUUCUUCAUUGAUAUCUGGAAUCGGCGCAUCGAGCUCUGAGCAUCGUCGAUUGUAGAGGUAGCAUGUGACACGUGCGGAUAAAUCAGGAAAAGAAGAUUUGCCCGUGGGUUGAAGCCCAGCUUUUGAGAAAGCUAGCGUGUCUUUGACUGUUGAAUUUCCCUCUUUGAUUUCUGAAUUGGUGCUUCGACAAACUGCCCGUGAUUUCCGCAAAGCUACCGGUUGCAUGUGACAAGUGACAACACGUCUGGACAAAUUGAUCUUUUGAAAUCCGGGGUUCGGCUCGUGGUUUCUGAGCAAGCCCAGCCUUUAAGAAAUGAAACGCCUCUUUUGAGAAAAGAAUCCGGCUUUUGAGAAAGGAAACUCCUCUUUUGAGAAAAGAAUCAGGCGUUUGAGAACGGAGCCCCGACUCUUCGAUUUGCGAGAUGACGCCUCUUCAAUUUCUGAGGAGCGCCUCUUUGAUUUCUUCUUUUUAUAGAGGCGUUAAUUUUGUUCCACAACACACUUGAGCUCCCUCCUGUAAACACUCCCUUCUUGCACUUGUUUAAUCUUGAUCUGUCCGACUCUCUUCUUUCUUCACCACCUCUGAAAAAUGUCUGGCCCUUCCGAUCGUCGUUUUGACUUAAACCUUGGUGAAGAGGCAGCUCCGCCUUCACCAGACAACAUAUGGCGCCCAUCCUUCAUAUCUCCUACCGGUCCUCUUACCGUGGGGGAUUCGGUGAUAAAAAAUGACAUGACCGCUGCGGUGGUGGCCCGGAACCUUGUCACUCCCAGAGAUAACAGACUGCUCGCUAGACGGUCUGAUGAAUUGGCGGUUAAGGAGUCUCUGGCUCUUAGCGUGCAGUGUGCGAGUUCUGUGUCCAACAUGGCCCAACGCCUAUAUGCUCGAACACGUCAUGUUGAGUCGUUGGUGGCUGAAAUACAGAGUCUCAAACAAGAGAUUAAAGGGCUCAAGCAUGAGAAUAAAGAAUUGCACAAGCUCGCACACAGCUAUGCCACCAGCAUGAAGAGGAAGAUUGACCAGAUGCAGGACACCGAUGGUCAAAUUUUACUUGAUCAUCGGAGGUUUGUGGGUUUGUUCCAACAACAUCUGCCUUCGUCUUCUGGAGCGGCACCGCGUAGUGAAGCUCCAACUGAUCAACCUCUGCCGCCUCCUCCUUCUGUGGCCCCGCCGACUGCUGAAGCCCCGCCUACUACUGAAGCACCACCCGACCAAUGAAUACUAUUAGUUUACAUCAUUGUAAAAUAUUUGUACUUUUUUUUUUUUUUUUUAAUUUUUAAUUUUUUUUUUUAAUUUUUUUUAUGUAUUUUUUUUUUCAUUAAUUUUAAAUUUUAUCUUUUUUUUUUUUUUUUUUUUUUUUUUUUUUUAUAUAUGUAAAUUAAUGUAAAGAGACUUUGGUUAACCUUCCCCCACACUUAAACUAAAUAACACAAACUCACAGAAAUCAACCAAAUAACACAACUAACUAAACAAAACAAAAUGAAAGCAGUAAAGAUAAGGGUGGAAGAAUGCAAAGCUGAUUGGGUUAGUGAUUCCAAAGUCUCCCUUCGUUGAAUGCUUGGGUUGCCUCCCAAGAAGCACUUGAUUUAACGUCUUUAGCCGGACGCAUCUUUCCUUUAAAUUUUCCUCGGCUCCAUUUGAACCUAAAAUCAAAGAAAAAAAAAUAAAUCAAAUAUCAAAAGUAAAAUACACAAACACCAAUAUAAACAUAAACAAAAACAAAAAUAAAAGGAUUAGCAAAGUUGCUAAUCCCCGGCAACGGCGCCAAAAUUUGAUGUGAAAACUAAGUUAACACACAAAUUAAACCCUCUUUUUGACAAUUGUAGUAUAGAUGUAAGUAGGGUAUCGUUCUAGGCCGGGGAUUAGGAGGGCUUGCUAAUAACCUCUCACUUGACUAAAAAAUAUAAGAAGAAACUUAAAAACACAAAAGUAGGCUUUAAAACACUAAACUAGACUCAAAGAGUUCAAAACAAACUUAAGCACACUUUGAUACAAGAAAAUAAAUGGGGGGUAUUGGUUUUGGUUGUGAUUGAGAUAAAAAGUAAAACUAAAUAUAUGGUUGAUGGAUUAGCUAGAGAUCCAUUCUUCACACAUGACACACUUGAACAUGAAUUGAUUUUCAGUUGCUUUUCGAUAAGCUAUUAAUACUCAAUGCCCCAAAUUAACCGUGAAUUGCACUAAUUAACCCUCAGUUUUUCCACAAGUUAUUGGGUUGGAUGAUUGCAUA
rnacentral:lncRNA from 1 species